rnacentral:rRNA from 1 species
UACGUAGGGUGCAAGCGUUGUCCGGAUUUAUUGGGCGUAAAGAGCGUGUAGGCGGCCAGGUAAGUCAGCUGUGAAAACUCGAGGCUCAACCUCGAGACGUCAGUUGAAACCACCUGGCUAGAGUCCGGAAGAGGAGAGUGGAAUUCCUGGUGUAGCGGUGAAAUGCGCAGAUAUCAGGAAGAACACCCGUGGCGAAGGCGGCUCUCUGGGACGGUACUGACGCUGAGACGCGAAAGCGUGGGGAGCGAACAGG